CCUACGGGAGGCAGCAGUGAGGAAUAUUGGUCAAUGGGCGCGAGCCUGAACCAGCCAAGUAGCGUGAAGGAUGACUGCCCUACGGGUUGUAAACUUCUUUUAUAAAGGAAUAAAGUGAGCCACGUGUGCCUUUUUGCAUGUACUUUAUGAAUAAGGAUCGGCUAACUCCGUUCCAGCAGCCGCGGUAAUACGUAGGGGGCAAGCGUUAUCCGGAUUUAUUGGGUUUAAAGGGGGGGCAGAUGGGGUUGAAAGCCAGGGGUGAAAGCCCGGGGCUAAACCCGCGAACUGCCAUUGAAACUGGCAGGCGUGAGUGCGGGAGGGGCAGGCGGAAUGCGUGGUGUAGCGGUGAAAUGCGUAGAUAUCAGGAGGAACUCCGAUUGCGAAGGCGGCUUACUAGACCGCAACUGACGCUGAGGCACGAAAGCGUGGGGAGCAAACAGGAUUAGAUACCCCUGUAGUC
rnacentral:rRNA from 1 species